GAUGAACGCUGGCGGCGUGCCUAAUACAUGCAAGUCGAGCGAAGCGGGGACGGGUGAGUAACCCGUGGAUAACCUCCUAUAAGACUGGGAGUACUUCGUAAAACCGGCGGUAAACCCGAGACUUUUAGCUGGAUCCGCGCGGCAUUAGCUAGUUGGUAGGGUAACGGCUUACCAAGGCAACGAUGCAUCGCCGGCCUGAGAGGGUGAUCGGCCACACUGGAACUGAGACACGGUCCAGACUCCUAGGGGAGGCAGCAGUAGGGAAUCGUGCGCAAUGGGCGAAAGCCUGACGGAGCAACGCCGCGUGAGUGAUGAAGGUCUUCGGAUCGUAAAACUCUGUUAUUAGGGAAGCGGUACCUGAUCAGGAAGCCACGGCUAACUACGUGCCAGCAGCCGCGGUAAUAC
rnacentral:rRNA from 1 species